rnacentral:rRNA from 1 species
UGGGGGAUAUUGCACAAUGGGCGAAAGCCUGAUGCAGCGACGCCGCGUGGGGGAUGAAGGCCUUCGGGUUGUAAACUUCUUUUGCUCUGAACAAGGCGCACCAUGGGGUGUGUUGAGUGUAGGGGUUGAUUAGCGCCGGCUAACUACGUGCCAGCAGCCGCGGUAAUACGUAGGGCGCGAGCGUUGUCCGGAAUUAUUGGGCGUAAAGGGCUUGUAGGUGGCUGGUUGCGUCUGUCGUGAAAGCUCAUGGCUUAACUGUGGGUUUGCGGUGGGUACGGGCUGGCUUGAGUGCAGUAGGGGAGGCUGGAAUUCCUGGUGUAGCGGUGGAAUGCGCAGAUAUCAGGAGGAAUACCGGGGGCGAAGGCGGGUCUCUGGGCUGUUACUGACACUGAGGAGCGAAAGCAUGGGGAGCGAGCAGG